rnacentral:snRNA from 1 species
GUUGGCUAAGUCCGUUCGGCGG